rnacentral:rRNA from 1 species
CGGUAGAAUUCUUAGUGGCGACGGGUGAGUAACGCGUAGGCAACCUGCCCUUUAGACGGGGACAACAUUCCGAAAGGAGUGCUAAUACCGGAUGUGAUCAUCUUGCCGAUGGCAGGAUGAAGAAAGAUGGCCUCUACAAGUAAGCUAUCGCUAAAGGAUGGGCCUGCGUCUGAUUAGCUAGUUGGUAGUGUAACGGACUACCAAGGCGAUGAUCAGUAGCCGGUCUGAGAGGAUGAACGGCCACAUUGGGACUGAGACACGGCCCAAACUCCUACGGGAGGCAGCAGUGGGGAAUCUUCCGCAAUGGACGAAAGUCUGACGGAGCAACGCCGCGUGAGUGAUGAAGGAUUUCGGUCUGUAAAGCUCUGUUGUUUAUGACGAACGUGCAGUGUGUGAACAAUGCAUUGCAAUGACGGUAGUAAACGAGGAAGCCACGGCUAACUACGUGCCAGCAGCCGCGGUAAUACGUAGGUGGCGAGCGUUGUCCGGAAUUAUUGGGCGUAAAGAGCAUGUAGGCGGCUUAAUAAGUCGAGCGUG